UGUUUUUAAUAUAAUCUACUAUAAAUAAAUAUAAUAUAAUAUAAUUUAAUACAAUAAAUAAUAUAGAAGAUAUACUAAAUAUGGUGUUUUACGUUUGGGGGUGGGGGGAUUAUAAUAAUUUAACAUUUAAGUUAGGUAGUUCAUACUUUUAAGGUAGUAUAGAUAGAUAAAUACAAAUAGAUAAUAAGUUAAAUGUAGAUUUUUCUAAUUUUAAUUUGGAAGGAAAUUUUAAAAAUAAAGAUGACAUUCUUAAACAUACCACUCCCCCCCCCCCC
rnacentral:lncRNA from 1 species